GCCGAAAGGCAGACUAAUACCGCAUAGUCUUCGAUGACGGCAUCAGAUUUGAAGUAAAGAUUUAUCGGUAAUGGAUGGGGAUGCGUCUGAUUAGCUUGUUGGCGGGGUAACGGCCCACCAAGGCGACGAUCAGUAGGGGUUCUGAGAGGAAGGUCCCCCACAUUGGAACUGAGACACGGUCCAAACUCCUACGGGAGGCAGCAGCG
rnacentral:rRNA from 1 species